rnacentral:rRNA from 1 species
AUACAGAGGGUGCGAGCGUUGUUCGGAAUCACUGGGCGUAAAGGGCGCGCAGGCGGUUUGGUAAGUCAGAUGUGAAAGCCCACGGCUCAACCGUGGAAGUGCAUUUGAAACUGUCAGACUUGAGUACUAGAGGGGAAAGUGGAAUUCCCGGUGUAGAGGUGAAAUUCGUAGAUAUCGGGAGGAAUACCGGUGGCGAAGGCGACUUUCUGGCUAGAUACUGACGCUGAGGCGCGAAAGCGUGGGGAGCAAACAGGAUUAGAUACCCCAGUAGUCC